CGGCGGACGGGUGAGUAACGCGUGGGUAACCUGCCUCAUACAGGGGGAUAACAGUUGGAGACGGCUGCUAAUACCGCAUAAGCGCACAGUACCGCAUGGUACCGUGUGAAAAACUCCGGUGGUAUGAGAUGGACCCGCGUCUGAUUAGCUAGUUGGUGGGGUAACGGCCUACCAAGGCGACGAUCAGUAGCCGACCUGAGAGGGUGACCGGCCACAUUGGGACUGAGACACGGCCCAA
rnacentral:rRNA from 1 species